UGGGGAAUAUUGGACAAUGGGGGCAACCCUGAUCCAGCGAUGCCGCGUGAGUGAAGAAGGCCUUCGGGUCGUAAAGCUCUUUAGGUUGGGAAGAAGGUUAGUUGAGGAAAUGCGAUUAAUUUGACGGUACCGACAGAAUAAGCACCGGCAAACUCUGUGCCAGCAGCCGCGGUAAUACAGAGGGUGCGAGCGUUAAUCGGAGUUACUGGGCGUAAAGGGCGCGUAGGCGGAGAUAUGUGUGUGAUGUGAAAGCCCCGGGCUUAACCUGGGAAGUGCAUCGCAAACUGUAUUUCUAGAGUAGAUGAGAGGGUGAUGGAAUUUCCGGUGUAGCGGUGAAAUGCGUAGAGAUCGGAAGGAACGUCAAUGGCGAAGGCAGUCACCUGGCAUCAUACUGACGCUGAGGCGCGAAAGCGUGGGGAGCGAACAGGAUUAGAUACCCCCGUAGUCC
rnacentral:rRNA from 1 species